rnacentral:rRNA from 1 species
AGCGAACGCUGGCGGCAGGCCUAACACAUGCAAGUCGAACGAACUCUUCGGAGUUAGUGGCGGACGGGUGAGUAACACGUGGGAACGUGCCUUUUGGUUCGGAAUAACUCAGGGAAACUUGUGCUAAUACCGAAUGUGCCCUUCGGGGGAAAGAUUUAUCGCCAUUAGAGCGGCCCGCGUCUGAUUAGCUAGUUGGUGAGGUAACGGCUCACCAAGGCGACGAUCAGUAGCUGGUCUGAGAGGAUGACCAGCCACACUGGGACUGAGACACGGCCCAGACUCCUACGGGAGGCAGCAGUGGGGAAUCUUGCGCAAUGGGCGAAAGCCUGACGCAGCCAUGCCGCGUGAAUGAUGAAGGUCUUAGGAUUGUAAAAUUCUUUCACCGGGGACGAUAAUGACGGUACCCGGAGAAGAAGCCCCGGCGAACUUCAU